rnacentral:rRNA from 1 species
GCCUUCAUGAAGCCGGAAUUGCUAGUAAUGGCAGGUCAGCAUACUGCCGUGAAUACGUUCCCGGGCCUUGUACACACCGCCCGUCACACCAUGAGAGUUGGGAAUACCCGAAGCCUGUGAGCCAACUGUAAAGAGGCAGCAGUCGAAGGUAGAAUCAAUGAUUGGGGUGAAGUCGUAACAAGGUACC